GCUCCCUUAGCUCAGUGGUAGAGCGCGUCACUUGUAAUGACGAGGUCGUUCGUUCGAUCCGGGCAGGGAGCU